AGUGAACGCUGGCGGUAGGCCUAACACAUGCAAGUCGAACGGCAGCACAGUAAGAGCUUGCUCUUACGGGUGGCGAGUGGCGGACGGGUGAGGAAUACAUCGGAAUCUACUUUUUCGUGGGGGAUAACGUAGGGAAACUUACGCUAAUACCGCAUAUGCCCUACGGGUGAAAGCAGUGGAUCUUCGGACCUUUCGCGAUUGAAUGAGCCGAUGUCGGAUUAGCUAGUUGGCGGGGUAAUGACCCACCAAGGCGACGAUCCGUAGCUGGUCUGAGAGGAGGGUCAGCGACCAUAGAACGGAGACACGGUCCAGACUCCUAAGGGAGGGAGCAGUGGGGAAUAUUGGACAAUGGGCGGAAGCAUGAUACAGCCAUACCGCGUGGGUGAAGAAGGCCUUCGGGUUGUAAAGACCUUUUGUUGGGAAAGAAAAGCAGCAGGUUAAUACCCCGCUGGUCUGACGGUACCCAAAGAAUAAGCACCGGCUAACUUCGUG
rnacentral:rRNA from 1 species